rnacentral:rRNA from 1 species
AUUGAACGCUGGCGGCAUGCUUUACACAUGCAAGUCGAACGGUAACAGGCCUUCGGGUGCUGACGAGUGGCGAACGGGUGAGUAAUGCAUCGGAACGUGCCCAGAGGUGGGGGAUAACGCAGCGAAAGCUGUGCUAAUACCGCAUGUGAUCUGAGGAUGAAAGCGGGGGACCAGGCAGCAAUGUUUGGCCUCGCGCCUUUGGAGCGGCCGAUGUCAGAUUAGGUAGUUGGUGGGGUAAAGGCCUACCAAGCCGACGAUCUGUAGCUGGUCUGAGAGGACGACCAGCCACACUGGGACUGAGACACGGCCCAGACUCCUACGGGAGGCAGCAGUGGGGAAUUUUGGACAAUGGGCGCAAGCCUGAUCCAGCAAUGCCGCGUGCGGGAAGAAGGCCUUCGGGUUGUAAACCGCUUUUGUACGGAACGAAAAGGCUCUGGCUAAUACCUGGGGCUGAUGACGGUGCCGUAAGAAUAAGCACCGGCUGACUACGUG